ensembl:lncRNA
CCUGGGGCUGGGCCGGGCAGCCCCGACACGGGCCCGGCACCGCCAGAGCACCCAGGCUGGGCGCAGCUUGUGAAUCACGGUGCUUGCUGCAGAUCAAAAGGGGUCCACUACACCAUAUGCACACAAUGGUGCCCAGGUUUGGACUCUACAGGAAAUUUCAAUGUGCUAACAGUUGGCACUUUAUUUGUGGACACACCCUUUACUUCCAAAUGCACAGCACUUCAGCUUCAGGACUUUAGUACCAGAGAGCACCACGUAAUAUUUUUGAGAUUUCAGAAAGACAUAAUGAAUACUGAGUUGAAUGUAAGUAAGAGAAAUGUUUUCAGAUACUCUUCAUGGAAUUAAUUAGCCUCAAUUUCUGGUGAGGAAAUAUUAGAGACUAAUAUAUUAAGACACA